rnacentral:lncRNA from 7 species
UUCUCAUUAGAAGAAACUACAGGCAAGAAGACUCCAGUAAAGACAAGGCACAUAGUCACAAAUAAAGGAAGACUUCAACAGUAACAGCAAAAUUAAAGUUCUGUGCCCUCAUGGUGGCUCCUUUUUGGCUGGUGUCCUCACUAACAAAUCAGACUUCUCUUGGCUGUAAAAGCUCCUGGGGGCUUGCAUGAACACUUGGCUGUUUUGGUUGAAUAAUUGAAAAAAUAUUAAUUGUCAACCAGAGUUGCAGUCCUAUCCUCCUUAACCCAUCCUGGUGUAGGAGAAGUGAGAGCACAUUCCCUUCUGCUGACUGCCCAGGCAGGAGAGCGACCUUUCCCCAUGGUGAUACCUAAUGCUGCUCCAUCCUUAACUGCCGUAGACAAGUAUUACCAAAGAAUCUGCCUUAUGUCUGCGGAUAUGUGGGUGCUUCCUGCUUUAAAAAUCUUGUUGGAAUGAGAUGGUGUUUGUAUUUAGCUGGUAGCUGAGGGCAGCAAAUGUUCUUAAAAACACAAAAAUCAGGAUUUUCAUUUAAGGAAAAAAAAAAAAACGAAAAAGAUCUGAUGAUCUGGUUUCCCAAACAGUGUCAGUUCUCUUCCUGCUUUCUAAAGCGUUUUUCAUCACUAGUAUCUGUUAUUAUUACUUUACUGUUAGCAAGCUGUCAGUUAAUAGGAGCUUUUUCUCCCCUUCCCCUCUCUAGUGUGUUUGGAAAUAUGUUCACAAUAAGAAGGACUGAAAAUAAUCCCACCAUAGAAAACAGACAAACAGCAUUCUGCUUUACUGUUGAAGCUUUGUAUCAGCAUCCUUUCUGGAGAAAACUACAUCACUGCACCUGUGAAGGACUGUUUUGCUUCAAACCCCUCUCCUUGCUUUUGAGAUAGUGUCGAUUAAGUGACUCAUGUCACAGCUCUUGAUUGAGAGAGAUCUGCUUUGCUGAUUACAUGUUAGGAGUCUGCUCCUAAUCCAUUUAAAUCACUUGUAAAUUACUUGCCUUUAUUUUCUCAUUGCCUCCACUAUUGUGUGGCACCUUCUUAUUUGCAUGUCAGGGUGAGCUAUUUCCUCAUUCCUAAAGAAUUGACUUGCAUUAUACCACGAAAUAUAAGGAAAACACACAGUAAAGUUUCGGCUGUUGCUUAUAUUACAAUAUGUUUGGAU